rnacentral:rRNA from 1 species
GAAUAGAAUUCUACACCUAAAUCUUAUCUUAAUUCAACAUCGAGGUCGCAAACUUUAUUCAUCGAUUAGGGCUCUCCGAAAAAAUUACGCUGUUAUCCCUAAGGUAAGUUAAACUUAUAAUCUUUAAAAAGGAUCAAAAAAACAUAAAUUAAUGAAAUAAAAAUUAAAAGUUAAAUUAAUUUUAAUGUCACCCCAACAAAACUACAUAAUUUAAAAGAAAAUUUUAAAAACUAAAAAAUAAAAAUUAUUAAUGUAGUUAACUUCUAUAGGGUCUUCUCGUCCUAUAAAAAAAUUUUAGCUUUUUAACUAAAAAAUUAAAUUCAAAAUAAUUGAAAAAAGAAAGUUUAUUUUUCAUCAAACCAUUCAUACUAGCCUUCAAUUAAAAGACAAAUGAUUAUGCUACCUUCGUACAGUUAAAAUACCGCAGCCUUUUAAUAUUUCAAAUCCAAUGGGCAGGCC